rnacentral:piRNA from 3 species
UUGGAGUUCAUGCAAGUUCUAACCA